rnacentral:RNase_P_RNA from 1 species
UAAGCGGACCGGACGGUUACGGGGCGGUGAAAGCCGCAACGAGGAAAGUCCGGGCUUCGCAGGGCAGGAUGACGGAUAACGUCCGCCCGGGGUGACCCGCGGGAAAGCGCAACAGAAAAUAUACAGCCAUCCAUGAUGGUAAUGGUGAAAAGGCAGUGUAAGAGACUACCGCGUUCGUGGUAACAUGAACGGCAUUGCAAGCCCCAUCCGAAGCAAGAUCAAACAGAGGGUCAAGGCUUGCCCGGCCGUGCUUUCGUGCUUUUGCGCGUAAAGCAGACUCUCAGGUAGAUCGCUAAAGGCUGCCGGUAACGGCAGUUUUAGAUAGAUUACCGUCACGGUCAUUUAUGUGACCGAACAAAACCCGGCUUACAGGUCCGCUUAAAGC